rnacentral:lncRNA from 1 species
GUCCCUCACCUCACAGAACCCAGGGCUCUGCUCUGAUACGGACGAGCUGCCUCACCUUGACUCAGGCUGAGGAAACUGCAGCCGGGAGGAAAAGCUGCAAGGAAGUUUGCAACUUUACCUUUCCUUCCUUGCAGGACUCUGCAGCCUGAGGUAGGAUGGUUGAGAUAGGAGUGACUCAAGGAUUCAACUUGGAAACGUCAUGGAAAAACAUCAGCAUGGAAAGAGAAUGGCUAAAAGGGGGGAAAGAAAGAAAAAAAAAAAAGUAUCUUGGAUGCCAGAACUGAAACAAUUUUAGUGUAAAUGGAGCUUCUCUUACUACAGCUUGUGAUCUCGUGUUUUCCUCCAAGCCCUUUCCAAACCCUACUAAACCAGUGAGUGUUCUGAGGGGUUGGGCACAGCGUGACAUUAAUAGGCUUGCUUCUCUGCUAUGAAGUAGUCUGCAUUAAGAGUUAUUAAGGUGUUUUUUUAUAUCUAAUGCUGCACAUUUUAAUCAGGUUUGAAUGCUGACAAUAAAUGUUCUGAAGAUGCUGUCAGUACAAGAGCUAUGGAGAUGUAUUUUCAGGUAAGUAAAGACAAGGAUGACAAGCCUGUUACUGACCCCACCCACUGGGGUUAAGACUAAGCCCUGGCAAAGAGGUGAGGAUGCCACAACGUGUAUCAGACAGGUUAGUUUCUAUAAUCCUCAAAGACGUAAAUAGAACAUACAUUAAUUGCAUGAGCAUUUCUCUCCUGUGGCUACACCCUGUCUAGUUUUAUGAACCUCUGAACCAACAGCCCUUUACCUCCUAGCAGAUACUCUUACUUUCAGUCCAAGGUCUCCAGCUUGAUAGAGAAUCAAGCUGUGGGCUUCUGGUGCUGAGGACAGCUUUGUGAGUGUUGCCACUACCUCUGAAGCAAUUUCUAUCUCCAGUGUGCAUGACAAUUUUGGCAAAAUACAUAGUUAAGUUUAUAAACUGUGUUAUUAUUCAAAGGAAAAAAAAGUCCUGAUCUAGAAACAGGCCAAAACCAAACAACACGUGUAAGCUAGCUUUUUCCCCCCCCCCAGCGUUCAGAAGUAUUUAACCAGCUCCAUAUGGCCAAAACAUUUAAGUUCUCCAUGACUCUAAAUGUUCUCGUUAUUCAAAUCAAUGUAACAAUACUUACCUCUUAUAAGGUGGUUUUCAAACCUGCAGGAAAAUAAAUAUACAGAAGCACUGGUUUUAUUACACUUCUUUGAGCAGCAUAUACCAAUUUGUCAAGGCAUGGAAUCUUCAGAAACACACAAUGGACAAAAUAUAGUAUAUAGUUUCUUAAUAUUGUCCUCUUCCUACAUUCCUUUCAAGGCUUCAUUCUAUGCAGAUAGUGCAGUCUGGAAAAAAAGUUGAACACAAACAUUCUAAAAUUGUCCUAAUAAAAAGUUCCUGAGCAAAUCUAUAGUACAGAUAAUAUAUAUAGAAACAUCUACAGUCCAAAAAAACUGUUCGCGCUUUUGAGCAUAACACUGUUUCUGGUUGUUUCUAACUUUGUAACCAGUUUCUA